rnacentral:rRNA from 1 species
GACGAACGCUGGCGGCGUGCUUAACACAUGCAAGUCGAACGGUUAAGCGCCUUCCUUUUUGGUGGGUGUGGAUGAGUGGCGAACGGGUGAGUAACACGUGAGUAACCUGCCCCCUUCUUCUGGAUAACCGCAUGAAAGUGUGGCUAAUACGGGAUAUUCUGGGUCUGUCGCAUGAUGGGUCUGGGAAAGAUAUUGUUUCGGUGGGGGAUGGGCUCGCGGCCUAUCAGCUUGUUGGUGGAGUGAUGGCCUACCAAGGCGGUGACGGGUAGCCGGCAUGAGAGGGUGGCCGGUAACAAUGGGAAUGAGACACGGCCGAGACUACUACGGGAGGCAGCAGUGGGGAAUAUUGCACAAUGGGAGAGAGCCUGAUGCAGCGACGCCGCGUGAGGGAUGGAGGCCUUCGGGUUGUGAACCUCUUUCGCCAGUGAAGCAGGCCUGCCUCGUUUGUGGGUGGGUUGACGGUAGCUGGAUAAGAAGCGCCGGCUAACUACGUG